UGAAAGGAUCUCAUCAUAUGAUCGGAUCAACAACAGACUUUGAGUGGCUUAUACAUUGUAGUGGGUGGAUGCAAUCGAAACCCAUAAAAAAACCUAGUGAAAAGUGAAAUAAAAAAAAAUAAAAGAGGAGGAAAGGUGUUUACCCUGUUGUUGUUAGUCGGCGAGGCGCAGCAAAGUGCAAAGGUUCUUAUACAAAAUGCUGAAUAUUUCAUCUUUCAUUCUGAUUGUCAAUUUAAUGCUUGGCUUAAGCCAAGCAGAGACACCCUCAACUAAACCAAAUAUAAUUAUUAUAUUGAUCGAUGAUAUGGGAUUCAACGAUGUAAGUUUUCAUGGUUCAAAUCAAAUACUAACUCCCAAUAUCGAUGCCUUGGCCUAUAAUGGGGUUCUAUUAAAUAAACUUUAUGUGCCCAAUUUAUGUACACCCUCAAGGGCAACUCUACUGACUGGAAAGUAUCCUAUACAUACGGGUAUGCAACAUUAUGUGAUUAUCACCGAUGAACCUUGGGGCUUGCCAAAACAAGAGCGCCUGAUGCCUGAAUUUUUCCGCGAUGCAGGCUAUUCGACUCAAUUGAUUGGCAAAUGGCAUUUGGGUUUUUGGGAAAAGGAUCUUACACCCACUAUGCGAGGAUUCGAUCAUCAUUAUGGUUAUUAUAAUGGUUAUAUUGACUAUUAUGAUCAUACAUUGCAUAUGCUGACCAAAAAUUACACAAAGGGUGUAGAUUUCCGUAGAGAUUUGGAUCCCUGUCCCCAGGAUAAUGGCACAUAUGCCACAGAUGCCUUCACAGCGGAAGCCAAACGGGUUAUAGAACAGCAUGACAAGAGUCGUCCACUAUUUAUGGUGCUGAGCCAUCUGGCCGUGCACACUGGCAACGAGGAUAAUCCAAUGCAGGCACCUGAAGAAGAGGUGGCCAAAUUUGCACACAUCACCGACCCGAAGAGGCGUACCUACGCCGGUAUGAUUUCUAGUUUGGACAAGAGUGUGGGACAGACUGUGAAGGCCCUAUCGGAUAAUGGAAUGCUUAAUAAUAGCAUUAUUCUACUCUACUCGGACAAUGGAGCACCCACUGUGGGCAUACAUUCGAAUCAGGGAUCCAAUUAUCCGUUCCGUGGUCAAAAGGAAUCCCCCUGGGAGGGUGGCAUUCGUUCAGCUGGGGCUAUUUGGAGUCCGCUGCUGCAACAACGAGGAUAUGUCUCAAAUCAGAUUAUACACGCCAUUGAUUGGCUGCCCACAUUGGCAGCAGCCGCCAAUGUUGAACUUCCCGAGAAUCUGAAACUCGAUGGUGUUAAUAUGUGGCCAUCACUGUCCGGUAAUAUAGAACCGCAGCCUCGCAGAUUGCUGCAUGUUAUGGACGAUGUCUUCGGCUAUUCAUCAUAUAUGCGCGACAAUCUGAAGUAUGUGAAUGGCAGCAGUUUUGAGGGUCAAUACGAUCAGUGGUUGGGUGACCUCGAGUCUGGGCAAGAUGAUCCCCUCAGUCCGUACUAUGCCCAGCAGGUGCUCUCGUCGGAGGUUCACGCUGUGAUUGGAUCACAAUCUGUGACCAAUGAACGUAUAGAGCAAAUGCGCGAAGAGGCCACCCAUCGGUGUCCUCUAAAUGAACAAGAUCACUUACAGGAAAUUUAUCUCUGCGAACCGCUCAAAGCACCCUGUUUCUUCAAUCUGGCCAAAGAUCCUUGCGAACGCUUUAAUCUUGCAAAUUUGUAUCCAUUGCAAUUGCAAUUCCUUUCACAAGAGGUUGAACAAUUUCGACAGAAUGCCGUUCCCAGUGCCAGAGUUCCCAUAUCAGAUGAGCGGGCUAAUCCGAAAUUACAUGGCGGCUAUUGGGAAUGGUGGAACGAAACGGCGUUCACCAUGGGGAGCAACUUUUAAUACCCUAUAUCCAUGGUUUAGAAAGAGGUAUAUCACACUAAUGGAAAUUUGUGUAACAGGAUCUGAAGCUAAACCAUUUCAAACAUUGUGAAACUGAAACUGAUGUGCCCACAGAUAAAAACGUAAUGAUUUUCUACAAUUUGCCAAA